GACGGGGACCCGCACAAGCGGUGGAUGAUGUGGUUAAUUCGAUGCAACGCGAAAACCUUACCACCUUUGACAUGUACGGAAUCCUUAGAGAUAGAGGAGUGGCUCGAAAGAGAGCCGUAACACAGGUGCUGCAUGGCUGUCGUCAGCUCGUGUCGUGAGAUGUUGGGUUAAGUCCCGCAACGAGCGCAACCCUUGUCAUUAGUUGCUACAUUCAGUUGGGCACGUCUAAUGAGGACUGCCGGUGACAAACCGGGAGGAAGGUGGGGAUGACGUCAAGUCCUCAUGGCCCUUAUAGGUGGGGCUACACACGUCAUACAAUGGAUGGUACAAAGGGUCGCCAACCCGCGAGGGGGAGCCAAUCCCAUAAAGCCAUUCGUAGUCCGGAUCGCAGUCUGCAACUCGACCUGCGUGAAGUCGGAAUCGCUAGUAAUCGUGGAUCAGAAUGUCACGGUGAAUACGUUCCCGGGCCUU
rnacentral:rRNA from 1 species